CAGAAAAACACGUUUCUGAAGCUGAAGAAGAUCCAAUAUGUAGAAUUCAGAAGGUGUCCUUCCAGGACUGGUGUAGUACAGGACCCACCCUGAGCUCAUAUAUUCCUAAAUGCUGAUGUUCAUUGGAUUCUAUCAUUUGGGGCCAGGCCACACUUCAGGCCAAAUCCAUAUUAUGAAGACCUGGAGAGAAUGGAGGAGGCGGUCAUGUCAAUUCUGCACAACUUAGAGAUGGAGAACACUGUGAUCCAUGAGAACAGCCAUAAGCUGAAGAAGGAGAUUACCUUCUCUAGAAACCUGCUCAGCCAGCUCCUGAUGGAAAACACAUGUAGGAAGAAGUUGGUCCCACUGAAGCAGGAGAGCAAGGAGAGACAUCUUGAGUGUGCACUGAACCAGAAAUAUUUGGUUGACUUCAGCAAGAAAGAUAAAGACCAGCAACGUCCAGACCCAGCAUCAUCUGGUCUCAGAAAGUGCAAGAGAGCUGGAAUUGGAGACACCCCAGUAAGAGAGCUUCCUGAAGAAUAAGUUGCUUUCUCAGGAGUCCCUGAUGACAAACAUCGUGAACGAAAACAGCACUUGAGAAACAACUUGGGGGACCACCUUUCAUUAUGUGUGCUAGAGGAGAAACAGCAAUACAUCUGUG
ensembl:lncRNA